UACGUAGGGGGCAAGCGUUGUCCGGAAUCAUUGGGCGUAAAGAGCGUGUAGGCGGCCCGGUAAGUCCGCUGUGAAAGUCGGGGGCUCAACCCUCGAAUGCCGGUGGAUACUGUCGGGCUAGAGUGCGGAAGAGGGUAGUGGAAUUCCCGGUGUAGCGGUGAAAUGCGUAGAGAUCGGGAAGAACACCAGUGGCGAAAGCGCUCUACUGGGCCAUGACUGACACUGAGGGACGAAAGCUAGGGGAGCGAAAGGG
rnacentral:rRNA from 1 species